UACGUAGGGGGCGAGCGUUGUCCGGAUUUAUUGGGCGUAAAGAGCUCGUAGGCGGUCUGUUGCGUCCGCUGUGAAAACCCAGGGCUUAACCCUGGGCUUGCAGUGGAUACGGGCAGACUAGAGGCAGGUAGGGGAGAAUGGAAUUCCCGGUGUAGCGGUGAAAUGCGCAGAUAUCGGGAGGAACACCGGUGGCGAAGGCGGUUCUCUGGGCCUGACCUGACGCUGAGGAGCGAAAGCGUGGGGAGCGAACAGG
rnacentral:rRNA from 1 species